rnacentral:rRNA from 1 species
CCUACGGGGGGCUGCAGUAGGGAAUCUUCCGCAAUGGGCGAAAGCCUGACGGAGCAACGCCGCGUGAGUGAUGAAGGUCUUCGUAUCGUAAAACUCUGUUAUUAGGGAAGAACAAAUGUGUAAGUAACUAUGCACGUCUUGACGGUACCUAAUCAGAAAGCCACGGCUAACUACGUGCCAGCAGCCGCGGUAAUACGUAGGGCGCAAGCGUUAUCCGGAAUUAUUGGGCGUAAAGCGCGCGUAGGCGGUUUUUUAAGUCUGAUGUGAAAGCCCACGGCUCAACCGUGGAGGGUCAUUGGAAACUGGAAAACUUGAGUGCAGAAGAGGAAAGUGGAAUUCCAUGUGUAGCGGUGAAAUGCGCAGAGAUAUGGAGGAACACCAGUGGCGAAGGCGACUUUCUGGUCUGUAACUGACGCUGAUGUGCGAAAGCGUGGGGAUCAAACAGGAUUAGAUACCCGAGUAC